AAAGUUUUAAGUUUCGAAAACGUCGAUGUGACGCCCUUUUCUUAUAUGCGUAAUUAUUUACUCUGAUUAUAUGCUAAUAAUUUGGGGUAGAAAAAGGGGUGUUACAUUAGUGGUAUCAGAGCAUGGUCGACCAGUUGGUCAAUAGUCACUAAUGUGUUACAUUAGUAGCAGGUCGGUCCGUCCGGCCAGGUUGUUUAAUUAU
rnacentral:lncRNA from 1 species